UGACGGUACCUGACUAAGAAGCCCCGGCUAACUACGUGCCAGCAGCCGCGGUAAUACGUAGGGGGCAAGCGUUAUCCGGAUUUACUGGGUGUAAAGGGAGCGUAGACGGAACGGCAAGUCUGAUGUGAAAGGCAGGGGCUCAACUCCUGGACUGCAUUGGAAACUGUCGGUCUUGAGUGCCGGAGGGGUAAGCGGAAUUCCUAGUGUAGCGGUGAAAUGCGUAGAUAUUAGGAGGAACACCAGUGGCGAAGGCGGCUUGCUGGACGACAACUGACGCUGAGGCGCGAAAGCGUGGGGAGCAAACAGGAUUAGAUACCCUG
rnacentral:rRNA from 1 species